UUGGCAAUGGACGAAAGUCUGACCAAGCGACGCCGCGUGCGGGAUGAAGGCCUUCGGGUUGUAAACCGCUGUCGUAGGGAAUCAAAUGUAUUGGGGUUCUCCCCUUUACUUGAGAGAUCCUAGGAGGAAGGAGAGGCUAAGCUCGUGCCAGCAGCCGCGGUAAGACGAGCUCUCCAAACGUUAUUCGGUAUCACUGGGCUUAAAGAGUUCGUAGGCGGCUUUGUAGGUGGGGUGUGAAAGCCCUCGGCUUAACCGAGGAACUGCGCCCCAAACCACAGGGCUUGAGGGAGAUAGGGGUAAGCGGAACAGAUGGUGGAGCGGUGAAAUGCAUUGAUAUCAUCUGGGACACCGGUGGCGAAGGCGGCUUACUGGAUCUUUUCUGACGCUGAGGAACGAAAGCUAGGGUAGCGAACGGGAUUAGAUACCCCGGUAGUCCUAGCCGUAAACGAUGAGCACUAGUCUGAGGAUCUGUCACAGAUUCUCGGACGUAGCGAAAGUGUUAAGUGCUCCGCCUGGGGAGUAUGGUCGCAAGGCUGAAACUCAAAGG
rnacentral:rRNA from 1 species